ACAGACCUGCCUGUCUGCAGCAGGCUGAUUCGGCGUGUGUUCCAUGCGACUGGGGACCUCGAGGAAGAAGAAAAAAAUAGAAAGUAUUCUCCUGAAGAAAUUCAGAGAAAAAGGCAAGAAGCAUUGGUUCGAAGAAUGGCCAAAGCUCAGGCAUCAUCUGUAAAUUCAGCUCCCAUUCAGUUUCUUCAAUGAAAUAUUAGCUGUAAGAUAAAAACUGUUAAUUAACUAUCUAUGAUAGCAAGUAUUCUUUUAUAUUUCUCUGUGAGAAACAGUGCUAACUUACAAAGCAUGGACUUCUGCUUUAGUAUUAAAUCAGUGUUUGCAAUGAUAAAUGAAACUUUGGAGAUAUAUGUGAAAGUAAUUAUAAGUAGUAGAAAUUCAGGAACACUAAGAAUUAUGUAAUAAAAUUAUGCACAAGAAUGUAGUUGUAUUUUUAAAUCUUAUGCAUGCAGAGAACCACCCAACAAAUAAGUAAUUUACCUAAUUUUCUGUUGUAAUGCCUUUUCCUAAUACAGAGCUUCAACUUCUAAGUUAAUAGAGAUUACUUUUAUAGUUUUAUUUUCAGUAGCUGUUGCUUAAGGUUUUCAUACAUUUCCAAUUUUUGAUUAAUACUUCCAUUAUCCUAGGAACAUGCUUGGUAGGAAAUGAGAACUUCAGUUUUAUUUGUAAGGAAAUUAUUAUUUUCAGUUCUUAGUCAAAGUAGAUUUGAAUUUUAGUAUUUCUAAACUGGGUUUGGAAACUACCAUUUUUAGGAAAAACAUUGGUUAAGGAAGUCUAGGAAAAGAAUGGUGAAUUAGCUAUAUUUGAUAAGUAAUUUAGUGUCAUUAAUGUUUAGAACUGGCAGAAAUUUAAAUAUCUGAUCUACAUUAUUGUAUGGAUGAGAAAAAUUACCACUGUUAUUUUCAAAGUCACAGACAAAUUAAAGCUUUACUUGUAUUAGAGUGCUCUCUUUGAAUACCUAAAUUGUUAAUACCAUUUGCCUCAAAGUAGUAGUCUAUAAAAUAAUUUGAGGGGACAUUAAUUAUUUUACACCAUAAAGAAUAUAAUUAAAAGCACAUGAAGGACUAUUUAACAGCAAUGCUUAUUGUUCCUUGCCUUAAAGAAUGAAUCUCUCCAGGAUAUAUGAAUGAGCUUUUUCUUUUCAGUAUUUCUGUAACUGCGGUUUUCUUCCCAAGUAAUUAGCUUUACCAGCCGCCCCCCCCUUUUUUUUUGUCCUUUUUGCCUUUUUGGAAUUUGUUGUGCCAAUAAUAGCAGUAGACUUUAGGAGACCCGAGGGAGGUUACAGAUAUGAAAUACAUUGGUGUGAUUUUCUCCACUAUUCAAGUGUUUUAGAACUAUGAUGACGUGGUAGCUAUUGCUCUUCAAGUGUGUAUCAUUUUGUAAAUGGUGUAGUAUUUUUGUAUAUAGAAUAACAUUUUAAGUAACUUAAAUUAUUUGUCUAAAAAUAUAUAAUGCAGCUAAGUUUAUAGUUAAAAUGAAGAGAUCUCUUUUUCUGAAGUAGCUUCACUGUAUUUUGACUAAGCCUUUGAAUAUCUGUGAAUGAAUUUAGACAAAUUCUUGUUGCCCCACUUGAAUCAGUUUGACUCUGAUUCCCUGAAGUUUAGGGUUGCAAAAUGUUUCUAGCAAUGAUUUAAAUUUAGUUUAACACUGAGUAGUAUGGAUGAUAAUUUAUUUAAAAUCUGACUUAUGAUUUUCAGUUACUGUUGCCAGUAUAAUAAUCACUUGUGGGAUUCAAACACAAAACACCAAACUUAUCUUUGUGCCUAUUUGGAUUUCACAAAUGAGUACAUAUAGGGAUUUUUGAGGUGUGCCUCCUUUUAAAAUCCAUUGGAUAAUAAGGAAAUCGUAAUUAGUAAACUUAACAUUGGUAAAUGUUUUAUUUUCUAGGAAUGGUUUUAAGCACUUUAUAUAUUGAACUCAUUUACUUUUCAAAACAACCAUGCAGAAUAAUGCUUUUACUCCUAUCAUACAAGUAGGAACAGUAAACGAUAACUUUCUUAAAAUUACACAAUUAGAAACAAGUUGGAGCUGAAGUUUGAACUCAAGUAGUGUAAUACCAAAGAUUGUGAUUUUUUUUUUUUGAAGAUGCAGAUUAGAGUUUAUUAAAUCAAGACUGGAGAAAGUACAGCACAAAUAGAAGUAUGCAGCACCCAAGCUGAACUAAAUCUAAGAUUUCUGAAAAAUAUCUGCUAAUUCCACAACUGGCCAAUUCCUGGCCUAAUGGCACAAUACCCUCUCAGAAAAGAGAACGGAAUAAGUCUUGGUUGAGUUUUGGAAUGAUCUCUGUAGUUUUUAAAGGCUCAUUGUUGAGUCUUCAUAGUGGAUGCAGCUACAACUAGCAAGAUGGCUGUGACUCCAAAGCCCUGGGCAGUGAUUCUGAUUCAUUUCAGGGGCUGGGAGUUCUACUUGAGUCCUGGAUGGAGCAGUAAAGGACACAGGCAAGGGCAACCUCUGUGUCUUAAGCAGCUUGUCACUACCAUUGGAUUCUCACAGGUCUUUGAAAGGAACUUUGUCUUGAAGAUUAUGUUCAGGUAGACACUGAAGCUAAGGUUUUCAGUGACCAAGGACUGCAUUGAGAGUCACAGGGCCAGAAGUUACCAUUUGGGAUCAAUACAAGUAUGAGAAAAACCCCAGAAUUGUGUUGGACAGGAGGACAAUACUGAGGAUGGAACCUAGGACCUGUACACUAAGCAAAGCUCUUGUUUUUUGUUUUGAGACAGGAUCUUGCUCUGUUGUUUGGGCUGGACUCAAACUUGCAAUCCUCUCUCUCAGAGGGUUAGGACUGCAAGCAUGUGCCACCACACCAGGCUGUGAUUUUAAAUAUUGAUUAUACUGUCAUCUGUGGAAACAGUUUGUAACAAGUGAUCUGUGGAAAUUAUACAGCAAAAUAUUAAAGGAUUUCACUCAUUUGUGCCAGAAA